GACGAACGCUGGCGGCAUGCCUAACACAUGCAAGUCGAGCGAGACCUUCGGGUCUAGUGGCGCACGGGUGCGUAACGCGUGGGAAUCUGCCCUUGGGUUCGGAAUAACAGUUAGAAAUGACUGCUAAUACCGGAUGAUGUCUUCGGACCAAAGAUUUAUCGCCCAGGGAUGAGCCCGCGUAGGAUUAGCUAGUUGGUGGGGUAAAGGCCUACCAAGGCGACGAUCCUUAGCUGGUCUGAGAGGAUGAUCAGCCACACUGGGACUGAGACACUGCCCAGACUCCUACGGGAGGCAGCAGUGGGGAAUAUUGGACAAUGGGCGAAAGACUGAUCCAGCAAUGCCGCGUGAGUGAUGAAGGCCUUAGGGUUGUAAAGCUCUUUUACCCGGGAUGAUAAUGACAGUACCGGGAGAAUAAGCCCCGGCUAACUCCGUGCCAGCAGCCGCCGCAGUAA
rnacentral:rRNA from 1 species